AACGAACGCUGGCGGCAGGCCUAACACAUGCAAGUCGAGCGCACCCUUCGGGGCGAGCGGCGGACGGGUUAGUAACGCGUGGGAACAUACCCUUUACUACGGAAUAGCCUCGGGAAACUGAGAGUAAUACCGUAUGUGCCCUUCGGGGGAAAGAUUUAUCGGUAAAGGAUUGGCCCGCGUAAGAUUAGAUAGUUGGUGGGGUAAUGGCCUACCAAGUCUACGAUCUUUAGCUGGUUUUAGAGGAUGAUCAGCAACACUGGGACUGAGACACGGCCCAGACUCCUACGGGAGGCAGCAGUGGGGAAUCUUAGACAAUGGGCGCAAGCCUGAUCUAGCCAUGCCGCGUGUGUGAUGAAGGCCUUAGGGUCGUAAAGCACUUUCGCCAGGGAUGAUAAUGACAGUAC
rnacentral:rRNA from 1 species